GGGCUUAUUGCUCAGUGGUAGAGUGCAUGCCUAGCAUGCAUAAGUUCUUGGGUUCAAUCCCUAGUACCGCCA
rnacentral:tRNA from 1 species